rnacentral:rRNA from 1 species
AUGGAUCCACAGCAGCCGGAACCCGUCAGCUAUCUGUGCGGAGAUUGCGGAGCUGAGAACACGCUGAAGACAGGGGAUGUGAUCCAGUGCCGUGAGUGUGGCUACCGCAUCCUCUACAAGAAGCGCACCCGCAGGAUUGUUCAAUACGAAGCUCGCUGA